AUAAUUGUCAUUAAAUUAUAUUUAUAAUUAUUCUCAAUAAGUAUAUAACUUCAGAUAUAAUAGUUGGUAACGCAUUUGGUUUUUUGGGUACGUUCACAUUAAACGCAUAUAUCAACUACGUAGUUGACAAUAUAACAUACACCACUUGAAAAAUGAAUUAAAAAAAAAUGUCGACUCGACAAGCAUUCUAGAUGCCAAUUAACAACAACUUCAUAUAAUUACCAACGUUAAAUUUUGAUCCUGAUUUAGUUCUUAAUAUAUUAAUGGUGUGAUCAGUUCACAAACAAAAAAA
rnacentral:lncRNA from 1 species